ACCAUGAAGGAGGGUGAAAGUAUAGCAGCCCCAACUGUCAAAGUGAGAGAGUAGGCUAUUCUGGAUAGGUAAGGUACUUGUGUAGUUCCAGUCCCUAGAAGUGAGGACGGAGAUAAUAGUAUCAUAAUAUUCAAUGCGGUGUAAUUUGAGUAUAAUGAAGUCUGUUUCUUGUGAGGUGUUCUGUCCUCAGAUAAAAAGAGCUGUCUACAGAUGAAGAGGUCCCAAUGAAGAGCAGUGGUUCUCAGUCCUGGUCCCGUGGACUCAAAAUGAUACCUUGUAACUGGAGAUUGUUUCAAAACGAUUGCCUACAGUUACCAUGUAGGGAACUGCAAGAUUGGAUGACCAGGGCCAUCUGGGACUGCCUCCUGGAGGAAUUCAGGUGUGUGAAGGCUACCUAUGUCCUGCAUAACUUCAUGAGGAUGGACACGAGGACCAGGAAAGGAUCUGCAGCUCACUGCCGUGUGCCAGAGGAGAAGUCUGCAUGAUCAGUCAUUUGGUCAGGUAUGUUUUGAUGUGAGAGAGGAUGCCAACCCCCAGUCCUGUCAUCUCCAC